GAGGAAUAUUGGUCAAUGGACGAGAGUCUGAACCAGCCAAAUCGCGUGAAGGAAGACUGCCCUACGGGUUGUAAACUUCUUUUGUACAGGAAUAAAAGACAUUACGUGUAAUGUAUUGCAUGUACUGUACGAAUAAGCAUCGGCUAACUCCGUGCCAGCAGCCGCGGUAAUACGGAGGAUGCGAGCGUUAUCCGGAUUUAUUGGGUUUAAAGGGUGCGCAGGCGGGAUUUUAAGUCAGCGGUGAAAUUUUCAGGCUCAACCUGAACACUGCCGUUGAAACUGGGAUUCUUGAGUAUGGAUGAAGUAGGCGGAAUUCGUUGUGUAGCGGUGACAUGCUUAGAUAUAACGAGGAACUCCGAUUGCGUAGGCAGCUUACUAAGCCAUAACUGACGCUCAAGCACGAAAGCGUGGGGAUCAAAC
rnacentral:rRNA from 1 species